UGAUGGCUACCCUGCAUGUUGGACACUGGCUGUUCUUCUCCAGCCAAACUUUAAUGCAGCUGUUGCAGAACACGUGGUUGUUGCAACAAAUGACGGGCUGACGCACCUGUGAUGUGACAGAACAAAACAACAGGGAUUGCUUUCAUUCCGGGAGACGCAGUAGAAGCCGUCCGCCCGGCCCGGCUCAGGCACUCCUCACUCGCCCCUGCAUGGAGCUCGUCUCCGCUCCUCUGUCCCGACCCUCUCUGAUUUAUCUUCUCCCGGUGGCCCGCGACCGUCCGAAGAGAUCCACGAAGGUCCUGACCUUCCCCCCAGACACCAGUUUCUCUCGGGAGGGGUUUUCCUUCUCUGGAUGAUUGACAGCUAAUUGGCAGCUAUAGAUAAAAACUGAUGGGUUUAGAACAACCGAAGGAGCGAGAAGAAGAAUAUGCAGACUUCAUAUUAGGGUCAUCCUGGGUUGAUGUCACAAAAUCAUUUAGAUGAAAUGUGCUUAGAAGUCUGUAUUCAUGCUAGUUUCAGUAUAAAAUAAAAAUGUUUGUAAUAAAAAAAGAUUUAUUGGUAAUUUAAGCUAACCAUAUAUAACACUUAUGCCUAAUAACAUUUUUUAAAUACUUUAACUGCUAUAGUUUAUGUUUUCUAUAACUGCUAUUGUAUAAGUAUUGUUAAGUCUUGUAAUAUGUUUUUAAUUUUUGUUAAAAGUUUAUUUAAUCUUUCUCAAACAGUGGACGACUCCAGACCGGAUCCGCGCCAAAGUCAACAGUUGAUCCGGCCAGAUCCGGCCCAGGGUCGUCUGCUUGUCUGGUUUGUUAAAAUAUAAUUUUUUUUAUCUUUAUCUUGUCUUUCCUAAAAAUUAAUUUAUAAACAUGUUAUUGUAUCUCUUUCUCUAUGUAUAAAGUGUAUUUUAAAUCAAAUUAAUAAAACAUUCAAACAUGAGUGCCUGUAAUAUUAUGAUACAAAUAUUCUGUAUUUAAAUAUUUCUUGUUUUUUAUUAGUAAAGUGUUUUGGCUGAUUGUACACGUGCCAAAAGAUGCU